rnacentral:rRNA from 1 species
GACGAACGCUGGCGGCGUGCUUAACACAUGCAAGUCGAACGGAGUGGCGAACGGUUGAGUAACACUUGGGUGCCCUGCCCUGCACUUCGGGUUAAGCCUGGGAAACUGGUUCUAAUCCCGGUUAGUGUGGGAUGGGCCCGCGGCCUAUCAGCUUGUUGGUGGGGUAAUGGCCUACCAAGGCGGCGCCGGGUAGCCGGCCUGGGAGGGUGGACGGCCACAUUGGGACUGAGACACGGCCCAGACUCCGACGGGAGGCAGCAGUGGGGAAUAUUGCGCAAUGGGCGGAAGCCUGAUGCAGCGACGCCGCGUGGGGGAUGACGGCCUUCGGGUUGUAAACUCCUUUCACCAUCGACGCGGUAGAUGGAGAAGAAGCACCGGCUAACUACGUGCCAGCAGCCGCGGUAAUUC